UUGUAUUUCUGAAGUAUGAUUUGGAUGGAUAAAUUAUUUGCUGAAAAAUAAAUAACAUUUACAUUUGAUGCCAUUUUUCAUCUUUUCAUUUUGCAACUGUCAUAUAUUUCCAUUUCGACUCUGCUACAUAGUCAGACAUUCGCCAUGGACAGCCUAUCCUAUUCUACUUUUUUUUUCUUCUCCUUUUUCUUUUUGGCCGAUUUGAGGAAAACGUACCGGCAACGAUCGAUGCUACUAUACGUUAGCUACCCGAUAGAGGCAGUGAAACGUAAAGGACAACGAAAUAAAAGAAAAUAUAUAAAGCAGAAGGUGGGAGAAAGAGAGUUCUAAAAUCCUACGGGUACACGUACCGCAAGAAAUUCGCUGCGAGAAAGAGAACGAGCUUAGUCGCCUCCUCGCGUGUCCGAGAGACGUCGGCUGAGGCAAGAGCAAAGUUUGUCCUCGUCGGCGAGACAGGGGAAGAUAGCGGGUAAGAGAGAGAGAGAGAGAGAGAGUGGAAGAGAGAGAGAGAGAGAGAGAGAGAAGUGAAAGCAACGAUGAGAGUGGGAAAGAGAGAGAGAGGUGGUCAUAAUCGCGCAGACCGCGUCAUAAUCCGCGACGAAAAACAUUUGACGAGCGCGCCGGGCUGGUAAAGGGGCAACGCGAUUGGGCGUGACUCGACCUGACACCGCCCACGUUCCUGAGUUUGCCCCACCGCUGUUGCAGUCGCGAGAGAUAGGGAGGGGGAGGAAUCAGGCUCAACGUGAAACGCGCGGUGAAAGACGAGGGGAAAGGUGGAGGGGGUCCGCGAGACGAGGACGGACACUCGCGCGGCAUUCGUCCCGCGACCACGAUCAGAGCAGGACGAGAGAUUAAACACACACAAUAAUACGUCUCGUAGCGGUGCGCGCGCGCGCGCGCGUGCCCGCUCGCAUGCUGUCCAGUGCACACACGACGAGAUUUUUUUGCGCGCGUACGCGGUAGUCCUGUUGGUUGGCCGCGUGUGUGGAGAUCGGCCGAGGGUUUGCGCGGACGAACGCCGCGCACCGUUCCGUAUACGCUACGCUUAUUGUAUAUCGGCACUGCCGAUGGACAUUCCGCAAGACCGCAGAUUUUGCCGGGCAAUUACACUGCGCCUAACUGCGCGACUUUAGACCUUGCUAGGUGUGCACAUUGGUACUGCGAGACAAAUUGUUAAAUUGUUAAAUAAAUUGUACUGUAAAGUUCCGGCUGAGACGUUUAUACGAAAAGACAUUGGAGAUUUUCUGAUCCGGAGUACACCUGUGUGUGCAUCGCUUUGAUAUAAGGAUAUUAAAUACAAGCGAUAAUCUAACAUCCAACUUGUAUGUGCAGGAAGAAUAAAUGAUUGGGUUAAGU